AUUGAACGCUGGCGGCAGGCCUAACACAUGCAAGUCGAACGAGUGGCGGACGGGUGAGUAAUGUCUGGGAAACUGCCUGAUGGAGGGGGAUAACCACUGGAAACGGUGGCUAAUACCGCAUACUAUCGGAUGUGCCCAUAGGGGAUUAGCUAGUAGGUGGGGUAACGGCACACCUAGGCGACGAUCCCUAGCGGGUCUGAGAGGAUGACCAGCCACACUGGAACUGAGACACGGUCCAGACUCCUACGGGAGGCAGCAGUGGGGAAUAUUGCACAAUGGGCGCAAGCCUGAUGCAGCCAUGCCGCGUGUAUGAAGAAGGCCUUCGGGUUGUAAAGGACUUUUAGCGGGGAGGCGUUACCCGCAGAAGAAGCACCGGCUAACUCCGUGCCAGCAGCCGCGGUAAUUC
rnacentral:rRNA from 1 species